ACACCCUUUUAAUUCUUCAUCACAGACAUAACUCGAUUUUAUAAAACAGUCAAGAGUAAUCACAUCUACUUCAUUAAAAUCCUGAUUCACCAGUACAACACUGACUUCAGCAACGAUUGCCUCAGUCUUCCCAAAACCCUAUGAAGAAAAAAAAACCCCCAAUUCUCUAUCUUUUUUCCCCACCCCGAAGCAUGAAGCUCGCUCUCUGACCCUUCAACAAAAAACCCUCCAAAAUCUUAUUCUCUCCCCC
rnacentral:lncRNA from 1 species